UAAAGCUUUGUCUGGGUAGACAC
rnacentral:piRNA from 1 species